CUUACAAAAUCCAUAACAUGUUAGCAGGACUUAUCUAGCUGCCUCCACAGAAUAGCCAAGCAACUCUACACCCGCUUUAGCCCCCACAAAAACAAGCGGAUUGCACUACAAAUAAUUUGCCUAUUUGGAAAAUGAAAGCUUCUCUGUAGUUUGAGGUCCUAUUUUUUCUUUAAGUUGUUACAGUCUUUUCAUGGUCCUUGAGGUCUAGGUUAGGUUUUUGUUUGGGGUAAUUUUUGUAUCCUAUGGAUACUAUUUAAUCUUUAGUAUUGAGUCAGUAUUUCUCACUUAGGCCUUAGGGGAAUACUGCCUGAAGUAUGUAGGGGGCAUGCGGAAUUCAGACGUGGCUUGGAAACUGCACCAUGGGUUCACCCAAGAAACAGACCAGAGGCAACACAUUCUAUCACUAAAACGUGUUCUCAGUUACACUUCCCUUCCAAAGGUAUCUCUGUUCAAGCCAACACCCGCUAGCUUAUGCUGAGUCUUUUUUUCCUGAAGAUACUCCUAAAGAAUACUCCAUGAUCUCAUCAGUAACACCAGCCCAUGUGACCGUAACUCUCACUCAACGAGGAGAAAAUAUACAAAGAGAAGAUGAAGAGACAACCAAAGUAAGACACAGUUAUCCAGAAAGAGCCCUAGAGAUGGAUAAGGAACCUGUUGGAAUGCUCUGAUAUUAAGAAAAAAAAAAUUAAAUUCAAAACCAAAAACAAGUCACAAGGGAGUUUUAUGCCUAUGUAAUCAGUGCAGACAGCCGUUAAGUAAAUGAAGAGGCAACUAACAAUGUCAGAAAAGAGACCGGGCGGUUCCGGCUGACACUACCCUAAUCUUCCAGGACCCAUUAAAUGGUAGUUUCAACGCAUUACCUACCAUAACAUCCUUGAAUAUCACUGAUUUUAUUUGCAGUAUCAAACAUUCCAUUUCAUGCCCCAUUAACAGUGGGAGCCUGGGCUUUUUGACGCAGCUAAACAUUUUACUAACUACCUGGACUAAGUAACCAAUUAACUUUUGGAGACAAUACGGCCAAUUAAGCGCGAAAAGAAAAUUUGGAAAACAGGCUUUUCCUAUCCGGAUGAACAGAGAUAAUUUGUGUCGAUGGAUGUUCUGUGAAGGCCUAUUGUGUCGAGCAGCGUAUUAAAACAUAAACAUGGCUCUUCCCCCAAGAAACUUACAUUUCAGUAAGGGAGCCUGGCCAAAAUGGAAAACUGCAAGGUUCAAAUCCUGGAGUGCAGAAGAAGCAUUAGGCAUUGACCCUGUGGCUUCCUAAUAGAUCCGCAAAGUGCUUUGUUCCUGGAAAUCAUCCGAUGAGUAGUUCAGUGCUAUUGUAUAUCUUGUUAGAGCAGCCGAAGUGCCACAAAAUGAACUAAAAUCUCCCUGCAGAGUUGCUGUAUCAUAUGCUGAGAACAUUCGGAACUUUCAACAAAUUCAUGUUACGAUCCUGGGUAGCCAUGGUUAAAUCUGUACAGGGGUUAAAUGAGAAAUAUGAGCCUGCUGUUAAGUGUCUUCUGAGAGUGACAAAGCUCUGGCCAUAAGGGAUGGGAGAGGAGGGAUUUCUUCUCAGCCUUCCAGCCCUUUCCAGCUGUAUCACAGACAGGAGACAUAAUGCAAAGGGGCUCAGACAUUGACUUCCUGGAUCUUUGCGGCCCCAGGCAUUGACCCCCUCUACCUGGCUUUUCCUACGCUGUAAAAUGAGGAUCCUCCUAUAUUAUGGAGUUUAUUGUGACAACUAAAUAGCUGAGAAGAAGGACAUCUCAUUUGUUUUAACUAUGCAGUUUCCUGUCUAUCUAUCUAUCUAUCCCAUCAAUCUAUCAAUCAAUCUAUCAAUCUGUCUAUCCCUAUCUAUCUAUCCAUCUAUCUAUCUAUAUCUGUCUAUAUCUAUCUAACAUUUAUCUAUCAUCUAUUCAUCUAUCAGCUAUCUUCUGUCUAUCAAUAUUUCAAUCAAUCUCUCUAUCCCUAUCAAUUAAUCUAUCUACCUACCUAUCAACUAUCCAUCUAUCUCUAUCAUCUAUCAUCUAUUCAUCUAUCAUUUAUCAUCUGUCAAUCCAUCUUCCUACUAUCUAUCAAAAGCAACACAUUUUCUUCCUGACUUUAAAAAUAUUUAAGUGGGCCGGGAGGAUGGCUCACGCCUGUAAUCCCAGCACUUUGGGAGGCCUAGGCGGGCGGAUCACGAGGUCAGGAGAUGGAGACCAUCCUGGCUAACAUGGUGAAACCCCGUCUCUACUAAAAAUACAAAAAAAAAAAAAAAUUAACCAGGCGUGGUGGAGGGCGCCUGUAGUCCCAGCUACUCGGGAGACUGAGGCAGGAGAAUGGGGAGAACCCGGGAGGCGGAGCUUGCAGUGAGCCGAGAUCAUGCCACUGCACUCCAGCCUGGGCGACAGAGCAAGACUCCAUCUCAAAAGAAACAAAAACAAAAACGUAAGUGAUACUCUGUCCACUCUUUUGAUUGAGGAGGUCUGAUUUUCAGGCUUUGGAUUUUAUUAUGUCUUCAAUAUAAUAAUUGUUCCAUGUAUCUCUCCUAAAUUGCCAUUUGAAAAACUGCUUUUCUGAAGUUUAAAGUGCACAUUUUGAUACAUCUUGACACAUAUAUACACCCAUGAAAUCAUCACCACAAUCAGGAUAGUAGAUCUAUCCAUUACCGCCAAGGUUUACUUGCACUCCUUUGAACUUUCUCCCCACUCCUCACCCCCUGCCUAUCCCCAAUCCUUAAGCAAUCACUGAUUUGCUUUCUGUCACUAUCAGUUAAUUUGAAUUUUUCAGAAAUGUAUAUAAAUAAAAUCAUUCGACGUGUAUGCUCUUUUUCUGUUCACCCGGUACAAUUUGAGAUUUAGCCAUGUUUUUGCAUGUGUCAAUAGUUUAUUUUUUUGUUGCUCAGUACUAAUCCAUUUUAUGGAUACAGAGAAAUGUAUUAAUGCAAUCCCAUAUUAAUAGGCAUUUGGGUUGUUUCCAGGUUUGGGCUGUUACAAAUAAAGCUGCUAUGAACAUUUUUGUGCAA
rnacentral:lncRNA from 10 species